GACGAACCGAGCGAACGUUAUUCGGAAUCACUGGGCUUAAAGGGUGCGUAGGCGGGCACGCGAGUCAGGGGUGAAAUCCCACGGCCCAACCGUGGAAGUGCCUCUGAUACCGCGAGCCUCGAGGGGGAUAGGGGCGUGCGGAACUUCCGGUGGAGCGGUGAAAUGCGUAGAUAUCGGAAGGAACACCUGUGGCGAAAGCGGCUCACUGGACCACAACUGACGCUGAGGCACGAAAGCCAGGGGAGCGAACGGG
rnacentral:rRNA from 1 species